GCAUACCACUAAAGAAAAUCAUCAAACCACAAGGGAAGAAACUACAGUAACAAAAGAACAGAAAAGAAUUACAAAAACAACCAGAAAACAAGUAACAAAACAGCAGUAAGUACAUACCUGUUAGUUCACUUUAAAUGUCAAUGGACUAAAUGUUCCAGUAAGAAGAAAUAGGGCAGGGCUUCCCUGGUGGUGCAGUGGUUAAGAAU